rnacentral:rRNA from 1 species
AUUGAACGCUGGCGGCAUGCCUUACACAUGCAAGUCGAACGGUAACAGGUUAAGCUGACGAGUGGCGAACGGGUGAGUAAUAUAUCGGAACGUGCCCAGUCGUGGGGGAUAACGUAGCGAAAGCUACGCUAAUACCGCAUACGAUCUACGGAUGAAAGCGGGGGAUCGCAAGACCUCGCGCGAUUGGAGCGGCCGAUAUCAGAUUAGGUUGUUGGUAAGGUAAAAGCUCACCAAGCCUGCGAUCUGUAGCUGGUCUGAGAGGACGACCAGCCACACUGGAGCUGAGACACGGUCCAGACUCCUACGGGAGGCAGCAGUGGGGAAUUUUGGACAAUGGACGCAAGUCUAAUCCAGCAAUGCCGCGUGCAGGACGAAGGCCUUCGGGUUGUAAACUGCUUUUGCACGGAACGAAACGGUGAGCUCUAAUACAGUUUGCUAAUGACGGUACCGUAAGAAUAAGCACCGGCUAACUACGUGCCAGCAGCCGCCGUAA